rnacentral:rRNA from 1 species
AUUGAACGCUGGCGGCAUGCUUUACACAUGCAAGUCGAACGGUAACAGGCCUUCGGGUGCUGACGAGUGGCGAACGGGUGCGUAAUGCAUCGGAACGUACCCAGAGGUGGGGGAUAACGCAGCGAAAGCUGUGCUAAUACCGCAUGUGAUCUGAGGAUGAAAGCGGGGGACCGAGCAGCAAUGUUUGGCCUCGCGCCUUUGGAGCGGCCGCUGUCGGUUUAGCUGGUUGGUGGGGUAAAGGCCUACCAAGGCGACGAUCCGUAGCUGGUCUGAGAGGACGACCAGCGACCCUGGGACUGAGACGCGGCCCAGACUCCUACGGUAGGGAGCAGUGGGGAAUUUUGGACAAUGGUCGCAAGCCUGAUCCAGCAAUGCCGCGUGCGGGAAGAAGGCCUUCGGGUUGGAAACCGGGUUUGGCGGUAACGAAACGGUGUCCGCUAAUACCGGGCGCGAAUGACGGUACCUGCAGAAUAAGCACCGGCUAACUACGUG